UACAGAGGGUGCAAGCGUUAAUCGGGAUUACUGGGCGUAAAGCGUGCGUAGACGGUUAUUUAAGUCAGGUGUGAAAGCCCCGGGCUCAACCUGGGAAUUGCAUUUGAGACUGAAUAGCUAGGGUGCGGAAGAGGGAAGCGGAAUUUCCGGUGUAGCGGUGAAAUGCGUAGAUAUCGGAAGGAACACCAGUGGCGAAAGCGGCUUCCUGGUCCAGCACCGACGUUCAGGCACGAAAGCGUGGGGAGCAAACAGG
rnacentral:rRNA from 1 species